rnacentral:lncRNA from 1 species
CUGCCCUCUGCUCCGAAGAAUGAGCAAGUUGAUCCUAAGGAUGCAGGAGGCACAAUUUUCUGCGGGAGGAAGGAUGACGGUGCCUUCCAGCGCGCCGACACCCGUGCCCCGCUCCCAGACAAUGGCUCAGGCUGGGAACAAGACCCAAUGGAAGGCGUUUGGUCCGGAGCACAGAAUCCUCACAGGCCCGCAGGCUCGGAAAACAAGGUGUCUGGCCCCGCCCUCUGGGUUAAUUGCCCUGGGCGGGGCUUGGGCGGGGCCUGAGCCGCCCUGGUAGUAAAAGCAGGUCCUCGGCCAUCUCAGCCUAGGCUGGAGGAGCAGGGUGGAGGCCAGGCUCCUCGGACCCUGCGGGCGCUGGUUGGUCAGCAGGGCUCGUACCCAGCCGAGCUCCCUGGGGAGUUGGCCUGCUCUCCGACCUCUCCUGAGUGGCCAGGAUCUAGAUCUGCUGAAAGAUGUAAUUUGAUAGGGGAGUAGGGGCUCCAUGUUGGCUUUUGUUUCCAGCAGCUACUUCUGGAGGGCCCCGCAUCUCAAAGGUAUGGGACUUACUCAGGCAUGAGUGAGAUUUCCAUUCUGGUUUUGUUGGUGUGAUGUUCGUGCGUGUGUGUGCGUUUUCUCUGAUGGCCAGAGUUUCCCGGUUGAGGGGGUACAGCAGGGUGGGACACCCCCCACCCCCACCCCCACCCCGUGUAUCUGGUUCCCUGUCAAGAUGUAGUCCCAUGGUAAUAUAUCAAAACCCCACUUCCCACCUGACACACGUGGGAAGCCCCUCUGCUCAGGCAUGCCCAAUCAAGCUGUUUUCCUUUCCUGGGUUUGUGUGUAGGUCUCAGAUGCCUCUGCUCCCAUAUUCGCCUCCGUUCCUGCAUUCAGUGACUCGGCUUUGCUGGGACCAUGGGAUACCCUGGACCUGGAGGAUGCCAGUUGUAUUUUCAGAGAAUGAAAGAGACGCUGAAUCCUACAAUCAUGAGGGGGCAUUUCCGUCCAGACCCGGAACGUGGCGUGCUGUGGCCCUGGGCGCAGAGGAGGAGGUGACCUGUUCAGCUCUUCCUGCUGCUCUCCUGGAAUUCAGACUUGGAAUCACUGCCAAGAACUGGUCAUCGUUGUGUUCUGAAGACAUAGGAGGGAGAAGCUCUCAACAGUUUUCUUUGUUCUGA